GUUGUAAACUGUUUUCGAACGUCAUAAACUUCAAAUAUAUUAGAACAUCACGGAGCUGCAAAAAUAACACUCGUGACACCUUCCUUCAUGUCAAUGGGACAAGUUCUAUAAAACUACAACAAAAUAUCAUUCAGGAUUAAUCUAAAUAACAUGGGAAAACCUGUAAAUACAAAACCAAUCAAUAGUUCAUGUGAAAUGUUUCAACACAAUUUUGCACUGUCCAAAGGAUUAUGUUGAGCAAUUGAUGGCCUAGAUAUUUAUGAUUUGGCUUCAUUGCUUCUCCGGAAUAACCCACAGAUGUAUAGAAUUCUAGAAUCUUCCAGAAGUUGGCAUGCUCAUUGAGUAAUAGAGAUUCGUUUCCAUAUUUAUCAAACUUCCCGGCGCUAGUUUGCUCAUGGAAAUGAUAGUAAACGGCCAUUUACCCCUCUUGUAGAGCCUUCACACACUCCUUAUACAAGCUCCUCCCCGUGGUUGUGAAAAUAUUUCACAAAAUGAAGACAUGAUGAGUGAGACAUAAACACAAACAUCUGGUGUGCAGAAUAUAAACCUAACAAAGUUGAUAGAAGAGAAACCCGCAUGGCCAUCUUAGAAAGCAGCAAAAUGGAAACCUUGAAGGUUGUUAUUGGCGACUAUAACAACAUCGUCUUCAAUCUCCAAUUACUUUGCCAAUUGGACCCAAUCCACCCCUCUGGUUCUCCUUUUGGGCUGCAAAUAAUCUAUUUCUGGAAAAAAAAUCGAAGAAAGUCAAAGUCAGAAUUUGGUCUUAGUCCUAAUGGGCCAAAUUUGUAUACUAUGCUGAUGCUACAUAUUGUGACAAUUAUAGAAAGUCAAAAGCUUCUGAUAGGUCAAAGUCUACAGCAGCUUGUGAUAGUUGGCAGCUGCUGAGGAUGUUGAUAUUCAUAGGAUGUCAAAGAAUAAGGCAAUCGAUCCAACAAAAAAGGGGUGUUGUUCACUGUCAACUUUAUAAUGGGCCUUUACAUUGGCAGGUAGAAAGGGUUCAUUUGAUAAACUGUCUGCCAUCUAUGAUCUAUCUAUUCUCUGGGUGUUUCUACGAGUUAUGAUGGGAGUCGUUGUUGGUCAACCAUUACUCGAAGGUCAAAAUCAAUGGCAGUUGGAUCACAAGAAAUGAUGGUGAUCUGUGUGACACGUGCCAUGCUGGUAAUCAAAUACAAAUAGAUCACUGAUCCGAGUCGCGUGUUUCUUUUGUAGUACUUUAAUUAGUUUCAGUUCUAUAAUAUGUUGAACAAAAUAUUAUAAUAUUAAAGAAAUACAUAUCUAUCAUUUUAUA